CCGCGAAAAAAGGUUAAACCAGAGACCCUGCAGAAGACAGAAUAUUUCACGCGACGAAAUAAAAUAGAAGACCCAAAAUUGGUGUUCAAUGUACGUUCUCGCAUGCAUGUCACAAGAGGAUUUUAUUACUAGAUCAUAACAUUUUCCACUGUUUGACAUGAUGGUUUGGUGCAACUCUAGUAACAUAUGAUGCAAUCACAAAACUUGUGAUGGUUGACGACCCUACACUCUGCUCUCUUGACGUCAGGUCCCCAAAUUUUUUGGCAGGCUGUCUGGCAAGUUGAUUCAGUGCACUUAGGACUUGAAAGAAUAGUUCGCAUCUCACAAUGAUCUGUAGACAAGAACACACAUUAUUAAAAGAAGUCCAAAAUGUGAAAAUUCCAAUGAAAUUCAUGCAGUUCGACUGACAAUGUUACUAUUCUACUCCUGUUGACAGGAGAAAGAAACAUACCAUCAAUGGAGUUUCCUAGCUGCAGGAGCACCAUAAAGUAAAGAAGAAUAACUUUCCCCUCCAUAAGUCAGACUCAAAUUAUCUUAUUCACGACUCUGUUUCGG
rnacentral:lncRNA from 1 species